AUUGAACGCUGGCGGAAUGCUUUACACAUGCAAGUCGAACGGUAGAGGGGGCAACCCCUCGAGAGUGGCGAACGGGUGAGUAAUAUAUCGGAACGUGCCCAGUCGUGGGGGAUAACGUAGCGAAAGUUACGCUAAUACCGCAUACGAUCUAAGGAUGAAAGCGGGGGGUCGCAAGACCUCGCUCGAUUGGAGCGGCCGAUAUCAGAUUAGGUAGUUGGUGGGGUAAAGGCUCACCAAGCCAACGAUCUGUAGCUGGUCUGAGAAGACGACCAGCCACACUGGAACUGAGACACGGUCCAGACUCCUACGGGAGGCAGCAGUGGGGAAUUUUGGACAAUGGACGCAAGUCUGAUCCAGCCAUUCCGCGUGCAGGAUGACGGCCCUCGGGUUGUAAACUGCUUUUGUACGGAACGAAAAGGUCUCUCUUAAUACGGGGGGCUCAUGACGGUACCGUAAGAAUAAGCACCGGCUAACUACGUGCCAGCAGCCGCAGUAA
rnacentral:rRNA from 1 species